rnacentral:rRNA from 1 species
GACGAACGCUGGCGGCGUGCUUAACACAUGCAAGUCGAACGGAAAGGCCCCCUUGUGGGGUACUCGAGUGGCGAACGGGGGAGUAACACGUGAGUAACCUACCCUUGACUUUGGGAUAACUUCAGGAAACUGGGGCUAAUACCGGAUAGGAGCUCCUGCUGCAUGGUGGGGGUUGGAAAGUUUCGGCGGUUGGGGAUGGACUGGCGGCUUAUCAGCUUGUUGGUGGGGUAGUGGCUCACCAAGGCUUUGACGGGUAGCCGGCCUGAGAGGGUGACCGGCCACAUGGGGACGGAGCUACGGGCCAGACUCCUACGGGAGGCAGCAGUGGGGAAUAGUGCACAAUGGGCGGAAGCCUGAUGCAGCAACGCCGCGUGCGGGAUGACGGCCUUCGGGUUGUAAACCGCUUGCGCCUGUGACGAAGCGUGAGUGACGGUAAUGGGUAAAGAAGCACCGGCUAACUACGUG